rnacentral:piRNA from 1 species
UUUCACUUGCAUUGUUUCUUC